UACGAAGGGGGCUAGCGUUAAUCGGAAUUACUGGGCGUAAAGGGUGCGUAGGCGGUUCGUUAAGUCUGUUGUGAAAUCCCCGGGCUCAACCUGGGAAUGGCAAUGGAUACUGGCGAGCUAGAGUGUGAUAGAGGAUGGUGGAAUUCCCGGUGUAGCGGUGAAAUGCGUAGAGAUCGGGAGGAACAUCAGUGGCGAAGGCGGCCAUCUGGAUCAACACUGACGCUGAAGCACGAAAGCGUGGGGAGCAAACAGG
rnacentral:rRNA from 1 species